GCUUAACACAUGCAAGUCGAGGGGCAGCAUGGGGCAGCAAUGUCCCGAUGGCGACCGGCGCACGGGUGAGUAACACGUAUCCAACCUGCCCAUGACCAGGGAAUAACCCGCGGAAACGCGGCCUAAUGCCCUAUGUGCUCCGAAGAGGACAUCCGAUUUGGAGUAAAGAUUGAUCGGUCAUGGAUGGGGAUGCGUCCGAUUAGGUAGUAGGCGGGGCAACGGCCCACCUAGCCUGCGAUCGGUAGGGGUUCUGAGAGGAAGGUCCCCCACAUUGGAACUGAGACACGGUCCAAACUCCUACGGGAGGCAGCAGUGAGGAAUAUUGGUCAAUGGGCGAGAGCCUGAACCAGCCAAGUAGCGUGCAGGAUGACGGCCCUAUGGGUUGUAAACUGCUUUUAUGCGGGGAUAAAGUGCUCCACGUGUGGGGCAUUGCAGGUACCGCACGAAUAAGGACCGGCUAAUUCCGUGCCAGCAGCCGCGGUAAUACGGAAGGUCCAGGCGUUAUCCGGAUUUAUUGGGUUUAAAGGGAGCGUAGGCCGAUGGCCAAGCGUGUUGUGAAAUGUGGACGCUCAACGUCCGACUUGCAGCGCGAACUGGCCGUCUUGAGUGCGCGCAACGUUGGCGGAAUUCGUCGUGUAGCG
rnacentral:rRNA from 1 species